AAGAGUUGCAAAACUCCCACAAACCAUCGCGAACGUUACCCUGACGUCGUUGCUUCGGCGGGCUCGCCCGCCGGGGGGACGCUACCAAACUCUUUGCAGUCAUUGGCCUCUCUGAGUAUGAUUUUUUAAAUAAGUCA
rnacentral:misc_RNA from 1 species